rnacentral:rRNA from 1 species
AUUGAACGCUGGCGGCAGGCCUAACACAUGCAAGUCGAACGAGUGGCGGACGGGUGAGUAAUGUCUGGGAAACUGCCCGAUGGAGGGGGAUAACUACUGGAAACGGUAGCUAAUACCGCAUACCAUGGACUUUUCCAACAGGGGAUUAGCUAGUCGGUGGGGUAACGGGUAACCUAGGCGACGAUCCCUAGCUGGUCUGAGAGGAUGACCGGCCACACUGGAACUGAGACACGGUCCAGACUCCUACGGGAGGCAGCAGUGGGGAAUAUUGCACAAUGGGCGCAAGCCUGAUGCAGCCAUGCCGCGUGUAUGAAGAAGGCCUUCGGGUUGUAAAGUACUUUCAGCGAGGAGGCGUUACUCGCAGAAGAAGCACCGGCUAACUCCGUGCCAGCAGCCGCGGUAAUUC